GCCGGUGUGGCGGAAUGGUAGACGCAGCGGAUUCAAAAUCCGCCGCCCAAAAGGCGUAUCGGUUCGAGUCCGAUCACCGGCACCA
rnacentral:tRNA from 1 species